UCGGAUGGAUAGAAGAACCCCUGAUGCCGUCGAGCCAAGAAAAGUUUCUAAGUUUAGCUAAUGUUGCCCGUACCGUAAACCGACACAGGUGGGUGGGAUGAGUAUUCUAAGGCGCGUGGAAGAACUCUCUUUAAGGAACUCUGCAAAAUAGCACCGUAUCUUCGGUAUAAGGUGUGGUUAGCUUCGUACUAGGAUUUACUCCGAAAGCGAAGAAACUUACAACAAAGAGUCCCUCCCGACUGUUUACCAAAAACACAGCACUCUGCUAACUCGUAAGAGGAUGUAUAGGGUGUGACGCCUGCCCGGUGCUCGAAGGUUAAUUGAUGGGGUUAGCAUUAGCGAAGCUCUUGAUCGAAGCCCGAGUAAACGGCGGCCGUAACUAUAACGGUCCUAAGGUAGCGAAAUUCCUUGUCGGUUAAAUACCGACCUGCAUGAAUGGCGUAACGAGAUGGGAGCUGUCUCAAAGAGGGAUCCAGUGAAAUUGUAGUGGAGGUGAAAAUUCCUCCUACCCGCGGCAAGACGGAAAGACCCCGUGGACCUUUACUACAGCUUGACACUGCUAUUUGGAUAAGAAUGUGCAGGAUAGGUGGGAGGCUUUGAGUAUAUGACGCCAGUUGUAUAGGAGCCAUUGUUGAGAUACCACUCUUUCUUAUUUGGGUAGCUAACCAGCUUGAGUUAUCCUCAAGUGGGACAAUGUCUGGUGGGUAGUUUGACUGGGGCGGUCGCCUCCCAAAUAAUAACGGAGGCUUACAAAGGUUGGCUCAGAACGGUUGGAAAUCGUUCAUAGAGUAUAAAGGUAUAAGCCAGCUUAACUGCAAGACAUACAAGUCAAGCAGAGACGAAAGUCGGUCUUAGUGAUCCGGUGGUUCUGUGUGGAAGGGCCAUCGCUCAAAGGAUAAAAGGUACCCCGGGGAUAACAGGCUGAUCUCCCCCAAGAGCUCACAUCGACGGGGAGGUUUGGCACCUCGAUGUCGGCUCAUCGCAUCCUGGGGCUGGAGCAGGUCCCAAGGGUAUGGCUGUUCGCCAUUUAAAGCGGUACGCGAGCUGGGUUCAGAACGUCGUGAGACAGUUCGGUCCCUAUCUGCCGUGGGCGUAAGAAGAUUGAAGAGAUUUGACCCUAGUACGAGAGGACCGGGUUGAACAAACCACUGGUGUAGCUGUUGUUCUGCCAAGAGCAUCGCAGCGUAGCUAAGUUUGGAAAGGAUAAACGCUGAAAGCAUCUAAGCGUGAAGCCAACUCUAAGAUGAAUCUUCUCUAAGCUCUCUAGAAGACUACUAGUUUGAUAGGCUGGGUGUGUAAUGGAUGAAAGUCCUUUAGCUGACCAGUACUAAUAGAGCGUUUGGCUUAUCUUUAAUAAAGCAU
rnacentral:rRNA from 1 species